UUACACAAUAUGAAGGCAGGCUGGAUCCCCCUAGCAGUGCGUUGCCUUGCGGCGUGCGCUGGUAGGCCGGCCUUGCUGAAUUAUUCACCCGUGUCUUUUGCGUACUUUCUGUUUCCUUGGUGGGCUCGCCCACCACAAGGACCAACCAUAAACCUUUUUGCAAUAGCAGUCAGCGUCAGUAACAACAUAAUAAUUACAACUUUCAACAACGGAUCUCUUGGUUCUGGCAUCGAUGAAGAACGCAGCGAAAUGCGAUACGUAGUGUGAAUUGCAGAAUUCAGUGAAUCAUCGAAUCUUUGAACGCACAUUGCGCCCUUUGGUAUUCCAAAGGGCAUGCCUGUUCGAGCGUCAUUUGUACCCUCAAGCUUUGCUUGGUGUUGGGCGUCUUGUCUCUAGCUUGGCUGGAGACUCGCCUUAAAGUCAUUGGCAGCCGGCCUACUGGUUUCGGAGCGCAGCACAAGUCGCGCUCUCUUCCAGCCAAGGUCAGCGUUCCAGCAAGCCAUUUUUUUUUUCAACUUUUGACCUCGGAUCAGGUAGGGAUACCCGCUGAACUUAAGCAUAUCAAUAAGCGG
rnacentral:rRNA from 1 species